AGUUGAUCAUGGCUCAGAACGAACGCUGGCGGCAGGCCUAACACAUGCAAGUCGAGCGCCCCGCAAGGGGAGCGGCGGACGGGUGAGUAACGCGUGGGAACGUACCCUUUGCUACGGAAUAGCCUCGGGAAACUGGGAGUAAUACCGUAUGUGCCCUUCGGGGGAAAGAUUUAUCGGCAAAGGAUCGGCCCGCGUUGGAUUAGGUAGUUGGUGGGGUAAUGGCCUACCAAGCCGACGAUCCAUAGCUGGUUUGAGAGGAUGAUCAGCCACACUGGGACUGAGACACGGCCCAGACUCCUACGGGAGGCAGCAGUGGGGAAUCUUAGACAAUGGGCGCAAGCCUGAUCUAGCCAUGCCGCGUGAGCGAUGAAGGCCUUAGGGUUGUAAAGCUCUUUCAGUGGGGAAGAUAAUGACUGUACCCACAGAAGAAGCCCCGGCUAACUCCGUG
rnacentral:rRNA from 1 species